rnacentral:lncRNA from 1 species
CUCCCACUCAGCUAGGCAGUUGCCACAGCGGGCUCGGCGGCCACACCCUUCCACAUUCCUUUUACAUCUGCAAAACGCGCUUUUGUCAGUGUAUACGCGCUAUACUCUGUGCUUAUCUGCAAACCCAAAUCUUCCCACCCCUGCUGUCCCCAUGUCUCGUUUUAAGACCUGCUCGUUUAUUUGAGGUAAUCGCAAUCUUGUCCCUUAUCUGUCCCAGCAACCAAACUCUGCUCCUUCCAAGUCAGCACCAAAGGAUCAGGUCACGUCCGGAUGGAUGACAAGGAUGGGAUUUAUGGCCGCAGAUGCGUUUGCAGAAGACAAGCAGAGGGUGGAAAGAGGUACUGGAGUGAGUGAAGUUUCCUGCAGAGAUCCCAGCCGGACCCACCGCAGCUGACACCAAGCGCAGCGGCUGAAAUCAAAGCCUGCGUCUGCGCGGCCCCGGAAGUGAUCCUGCGCGGCCCUUGCGUCGGAAGGAGACGCCGCACCUAGGUUGCAUCUGGGCUGCGCAGAGUCCCCAGACCAGAUCCCGCCUUUGUUCCACGCACGCGCAGUAAGGACUCAUGUGCCCGGUUGUUUCCGGCUGUAACCGAGGUGCUAACCUACUCCGGGUAUAUCUCCCCUGGGCCCUGCUCUUGCAGAAAUCCGAGUUUAUUUGCAUCAGGUCCUUACACCGAAAUUCACAGCGGCUGUCCCUGUCCCAAAGUUGAAGUGCUGAACCCGUGGAGGAAGUCUCAGACGCAAAGGGGAGCUCUGCAGUGGACAGCUCCCAGGGAAGCCCUCAUCAGACCAAGGAGUCAUGACAAAAAGGCGCGAGACAUCUUGUGAGGAAUAGCAGAAAUAAUAUGACUAGAGGGCGAAUGCAGCCCUCUUUGUAUCAGUAAAGAACGGGCCUGCAAGGUUGGGCUUUGAUCCUAAAAUCCGGUUUCUAAACCUCCAAAGACUCCUUAGCAAAGCAGCCUGCCGAGCAAGCCUUUCUUAACUGAGCUUAACGGAUGGGACACGUGACCCAAGGCUAGGGCUGUGAGAAAGGAAUUUGAGGAAUGUUGAGAGGUGGACUCAAAACUUUGUGAUCAGCUGAAUUCAAACGAUUUUCCUGUGAUUCCCUAGUUCCAGAACAGAGUGACACCUGAUUGGGAAAGAGAAAGCUCUGGGCAAGACUAGGGUGUGGGUUGUAAAGAAGAUAGGACACAGGCUGACCCUGAGAGAAGGUCCUAUCCUUGAAGAUAUCAAAACAUUUCUGCAAAAUGAAUACCAAUCACACAGAAACUCAGAAGAGGAAGUCAUCAUCUCACUAAGCCUCAAAUAAAAAGCCAAAGACAUAAAGGAAUAAAAUAACAUUUAG